CUAUUCGCCUUUCGUGUGAUUACAAACAUGGCUUCGAAGAAAGUUGUUUUCGUCAUAAGCGGCUCACGUGUUAUAGUUAUUCCAAGAAAAUUUAUAUUUACUAUGCGACAAGAUGUUAGAUAAAUAUAUUGUAAUGUUGAACAGUUAAAGGCCGAAGGGCUGACAAAUUCCUCUUCAAAGUUCAUCAAUAUAGCCAGUUGAUGCUUUGAACACCUAGAAAUUGAAUAUGAAUGGGAUCUGGACUAAAACCUUCAUAAGAACUUGUAUGACUUUUGCAGGAGAAAUUUUCGCUGUCGCAGACACCCAGUGGACGCCGCAAUAAAAGAUGAUGUCGAUGCAUCUGUAGCAAAGAGGCAAACGCACACGAAGGAAAGGUUUACCACAUGAACCAAGUCUCUAUACAGAAAUCCAAUACAGACACUUUCCUUGUUUCUAAUCGUUUAAAGAUUUUGCAGCCACAAGAACGUUGCAGACAAUUCCAUUCCGUAUGGCAUGUAAACUUGAUUUCUCACGCUCGGCCUUGUAACAUCUCUUUGUAACAUGUCCAGUCGCCUUUAGCUCCUGAAUGGAAUGCCCCCCUCGCCCUUAAUGUGCCGCUUAUGUGCCGCCUAACUACCGAAAUUGUUCGGCCUAACUGCCCAGAAUUAAGUAGGGUAACUCUGAACGGAAAGCUGCAAUUUGGAGCCAUCUAUUGUCGGGAAAUGUACAAAGAAGUCUCUAAGUUAACCAUAAACACACCCUCUUCGAUCGCGUGGAACAUAGGUCGAUGCAAUAUCCAGGGCAAUCGCAAGGCAAGCCUUGCUGAGGGGGGAGGUGUGGACGACAAAUUUACCUGAUUAUUAAACAAUUACCUGAAAUUCUUAACAUGCUGAAGCAAACCUCUGCAAUACUUUUUGUCAAUCUAACGGUGUGGCAUAUAAUUCGCAAUUUUCAAUUUUUUAUGAUUAUAACGGACUUUUAUAAUAGUUUUGUCAAAUCUGUAUAUCGGGACGGGCAAGGAUAUACCUACCCGAGCCCGCACCAUGGUUGCCGCCGAGGGACUAGAAAAUUUUCGAAUUUCGAUGCUUCCAGUUCCCUGGAAAAUACAUUUUUUACCAAAUUUUACUAAAGCAAUCCUAUUAAUCCUAUUAAAAAUUCUUUUAUUUUUACAAACAAAUUGAGCAGCAGAUAAAAACAACUGGUAAAAUUUUUCCGUGGUCUUGAAAAAUUCCAUGUUGUCAGUUACCUCUAAAGCCAGGUAACAAGCAGCACUGGUUGUCAAUUUAGAUCCCUCUUUCCAACCUAGCAUGCCUUUUGAAUGUUACAAAAAAACCUGGAGCUCAUUAUGAAUUGCAGUUGACGCUUCUACCGAGGAACUUUAGGGGAAAUGGACACAUGGCACAAUUUUACCUAAAGAGGGCAUGGAUUAUUAAAUUUUGUGCCAACAAGAAAUCUUCAAAUCUUCAAAUCAUUAGUUUGUUUACCUUCCUUCAUAUCAAAGAAUGUCAUAUUUAACCAAAGGAGCAACUACCUUUGCUUAAUUCUUUAUUGAUUUUAAGACAUGAAGGUCUCUGAAAAACCUAAAGCCUUUCUUCCACUGGGCGGACUUUACCUGGAAUUUCCUAUCAAGAUGUUAUUGAGGAGGUGUGACACCCCCCCCCCUCAGUCGCGACGCCCCUGGCAAUAUUGAACCCCUUUCCUACUUCUACCCUUGCAUGUUUAGUAAAGGUAUAUUCUGAAGCUACUUAACACCCUUAUUGCCCUCUCAAACUCUCCUUUUUAAACCGUGAACGACCAGUGUCGUCUAGCUAGUGCGAAAAGCCUCCAUCUCCAUCGGGAGCAUUCCCCAUCAUUGAUACAUUGUUUACGUAGAGAGUAUUUUGCGAUGAAGCUUUAGAAAUCGUCUAUUGAAUUUCUUUUGUUUGAAGUGAGAAUCUUUUGAAUUGUUGGUUUUUAGGAAAGAUAAUUUUUACUCGCUCAUCCAAAAGGGUAAAGUAAACGUCCUUUUGUGGAAUGGUAGCAUGGAUUGAGAUAAAUAUUGCUUAUUUUCUGUGUAUUUUUCCUGUUUUGCGUUUAAAAGAUAUUUGAUAUUCCAGCCGGCCCGGCCCUCACCUCUUAGUGUUUUCACAAAGAGAGGCUUUUGUCUGAAAUUGAAUGGCCAGUGUUUCAGCUAAAAGUU